rnacentral:rRNA from 1 species
CAAUAGCAUAUAUUAACGUUGUUGCAGUUGAAAAGCUCGUAGUUGAACUUUUGGUAGGAGCGACCUGGCCUUGGGCGCAUGCCCUUGUUUGCCGUGUGUCGUGUCUGGCCAUCCUUUUCUUCUUUUUGGAAGGAAUCUUUUACUGUGAGUAAACUGGAGUGCUCAAAACAAGACGUUUGUUUGGUACAUUAAAGCAUGGAAUAAUAAGAUAGGACCUGGUUACUAUUUUGUUGGUUUGCAUAGCUAGGUAAUGAUUAACAGGGACAGUUGGGGGUAUUCGUAUUUAAUUGUCAGAGGUGAAAUUCUUGGAUUUAUGAAAGACGAACGACUGCGAAAGCAUUUACCAAGGAUGUUUNCAUUAA